AACCGACCUUUCAUCUCUUCUGCCCUCCCCUCUCUGUUGCAGGCUUGCAGCGACCAAGAAUUACUCAGACCAGGCUUCGAUAAGGUCCUCUGUUGCAGGCUUGCAGCGACCAACCGACCUUUCAUCUCGCCGUUGACAGAUUGCAGACCAGGCACAAUGAGUAAGGAUGUUAUGGCGCGAUUUCUCAACAAGAGGAAAACGAUUGAAAUUGGAUCAUCUUCCGAUUUUGUUGAUGUGAAUGAUCUUCCCUCGGAUCCUCAUGAUCGCAAGGCGAUAGCAUCAUACAACGUGAAUCAACGAGAUGAUGUUAGAAGGGCAUACCUACUAAGAGGACCAUGUCAACCAACGGGAAUUAAAUUUAAGUUUGAUGUUCUUUUUUUUACAUGACCCGACCCGACCCGAACCGGUUUUUUUAUGUAUAUAUCUAGACACCAAAAAUUUAAAAAAAAUCCGCACCCCCAUGAAAAAAUUCCUGGGUCCGCCACUGGAUGGCUGGCAUCCCGUGAAAUCCACUAGUGUGAGCGCCUUGCCAUUGAUAUGAAAACGAUCACCAUAAUUGAUACGAGAGGACGGACGAAGACAACAUACGACGUUAAUUCAUAACAUAACUGAGCAACAGUGUCUACAGUAGCUUAUUAACUGACGGCGUUAGUAUCCUUCUCUUAGUUUAUCCCCUUCUCUUUCUGCUUCUCUGGGUUCCCCCUCUCUCUCUGCUUCUUUGGGUUGAACAAGGAAGAUGAAGACGACAUCGUUGAAGACAUCGCUCUCACCAUCGCACUUCGCGUUCGUUAAGUCCCAUCUCUUUGUCUCAUUUGGUUUCUCUCUGUAGAACCCCCUGUUUCUCUCUCUACGAGAGGACGGACGAAGACAACGAUCAUCAUCUUCUGAACAGAAUCAUCUUCUGAACAGAAUCAUGUUUAUUGAUUCGUUAUUGGAUUGAUUUCGGUUUGUAGGUCGAAAAUGGAGGUGAAUCGGAGAAAUCGACGGCGGAGGAGCGGUUACAGCCGGCGGCUGUGGAGAAUUCGAAGGAAUUGAGCUCGCCGACGGCGGCGGAUCCGCCGGAGAAUGUCGAUGUGAGCUGCCGGAAGGACGGCGAGGUCGUUACUCCGGCUGCAUCUGUUGUUACUCCGAUUGCUCAAGUCAGUAUUUGCCUGAAUUAUUGACAGAGCAUGAAAAGCUCCAGACUUUUCUUCAAGUUCUUCUCAUAUGCACCAGACUCUUGAAUCAAGGUUUGUACACAGAGAGAGAGAGAGAGAGAGAGAGGCAGACUUGGUAGUGCUAGCUGAAGAACACCGGCAAUCCAAGGACUUGCGAUACAGAUGUCAUGUGCAGUGGCGGUGGUGUGCGCGUGGUCACCCAAGUAUAAGGAUGGCUGAAGCAGCCCUACUCACACUCAUAGUAGGGCUAUCAAUGUCCAAGAUUUGCCCUUCUUACCGUAUAGCUGAUGGCCUCUACUUUUGGAGCGCAAACCUUUGCGUUAAUGAAUGAGGCGCAUUUGCUUCUUGGCUCACUAGCUGGUUCCGCUGAGAAGUAAUCGCUUACCAACAAAUUGUUACUGGUGUGCCGUUCACGAGCGAUGUACCUUCUCCUCCGUUUAGGUUGUUGAGUCUUUUCCUCAUCGUCUUCGUCUUCCAGGAUAGCUUUCACCACCGUCGCGAUCGUUUGUAUAAAUAUUUUCGCCCCAUCGUCAGAUGAUGAUGACGAUUCACUAUAACUUGAAGAACUCAUGGCAAGAUUGUGUUUUAUGUGUUUGAUAUUGUGUGAGAAAAAUGUUAAAUAUGGUAAGGUAUUUAUAAAGGAAAUUUUUUUUUAACUAGCCCCCAACGGCUAGGCCAACGGCUAG